AGCAGGUAGGACAGGAACUUGUUUAUACAUGCAGGAUUAGUUAAUGGUGAUCGUGGUCAGCUCUUCUUUUUCACGUGUAAGUAAAUGAUUGGUCAUAGGAAAGAGCAGUGAAUUUACUUCCAUUUACUACAGCCAGCUGAAGACAGAUGUUUUCUGAGCUGAAGAUCAACUUUUAUAUUGCAGCUUGCAAGAAUUGAUUAUACACAGGAGCUGAGUAAAUUUACGUCAUUGCCUAGUGCUGGAGGAAGAGGAAUGCUAGUGAAGAUCCUGUUGUUGUUGGUCAAGUUGAAUAAAAAAUGGUUUCUUCUGGAGUAAUUUAUACGAUGUCUGAAGUACCAUGGUAUUACUUUGUGUAUUAAGAAUGUAAUGAUAAUAGGUUUACUCUAAAGUCUGUAGUUUUUAGUAGUUUUCACUGACAAAGAAAUAUUCUAAUUCAAGGGUCUAAUUCAAAGGUCCAAUUUGUAUCUUACAUUGUGUGUGUUAACUGUGCAUCUGUACUGGCUUGUCUUGAAAGAGCUGCUCUUAUUGGGAAAACAUGGGUAAGCUGUGAGUGCACUUUCUUGCUGCUCUUUGCUGUUCCAGGGUUUCCAAAAGGUUUCCGCACCGGAGAUGGUGUGUGUCAGAGACUGAAAUGUUUAGUAGCUUCAACAUUGUUAAGAUCACCAAGAGAAUUUUGUCCACUGUACCAAACUGCAAAGAAACAACUGCUCAUGCACAUCCUUCCAGGAAUAUGCCUCCUAAUUUGGUCUGGAAAAGGACCUUGAGAUAACAAAAGGGGAGUACUAUUGUCCAACUCUUCCAGGUGCAUACCUGAAUCUACAAACUGGAUUUCCAGAUAAGGGAAGAGGCAGAUCCAUGAGGUGGGGUAAUCCUUCUUAUCAUGUACAUGUCCUCCCUUACAUGAUGAGUCUGCUGUGAAAACCCCUCCAGGAAGUAUCAAAGACAUUAAAACUCCCCACCGCAGGGGAGGUACGAGGCGUUCCCACCUUAGCCUGAGUGUAUAUAAGUCAUGAAAAUCUUUGAAUUUUGAGGGGGCUUCCCCCACCCCCAACGGAUCAAGACCAUCACUUCGACAGGACUCCAACCACCAUCUUCAAUCUGCAGACAUUGAAGCCACAAUUACCAGUUUUCAUCACUGGAUCCAGCAGGUGGUGACUAUGUAUAUCUUCCCACUUUUAUCCUUUCUUUCUUUUCCUUAUACAUUUCCUUAAGUGUUAUUUUUAUGCUUUAAUAUUGCUGUAUUACUAUAGAUGAUAACAACCAAAACGGCU